rnacentral:rRNA from 1 species
UACGGAGGGUGCAAGCGUUAUCCGGAAUCACUGGGUUUAAAGGGUGCGUAGGCGGUUUAAUAAGUCAGAGGUGAAAGCUCAUCGCUUAACGAUGGAAUUGCCUUUGAUACUGUUAGACUUGAAUUAAGAUAAGGUUGGCGGAAUGUGACAUGUAGCGGUGAAAUGCAUAGAUAUGUCAUAGAACACCGAUUGCGAAGGCAGCUGACUGGUCUUUUAUUGACGCUGAGGCACGAAAGCGUGGGGAGCGAACAGG